CCUACGGGAGGCAGCAGUGAGGAAUAUUGGUCAAUGGACGAGAGUCUGAACCAGCCAAGUAGCGUGAAGGAUGACUGCCCUAUGGGUUGUAAACUUCUUUUAUAUGGGAAUAAAACGUUCCACGUGUGGGAUUUUGUAUGUACCAUAUGAAUAAGGAUCGGCUAACUCCGUGCCAGCAGCCGCGGUAAUACGGAGGAUCCGAGCGUUAUCCGGAUUUAUUGGGUUUAAAGGGAGCGUAGGUGGAUUGUUAAGUCAGUUGUGAAAGUUUGCGGCUCAACCGUAGAAUUGCAGUUGAAACUGGCAGUCUUGAGUACAGUAGAGGUGGGCGGAAUUCGUGGUGUAGCGGUGAAAUGCUUAGAUAUCACGAAGAACUCCGAUUGCGAAGGCAGUUCACUGGACUGCAACUGACACUGAGGCUCGAAAGUGUGGGUAUCAAACAGGAUUAGAUACCCCUGUAGUC
rnacentral:rRNA from 1 species